rnacentral:rRNA from 1 species
ACUUAACACAUGCAAGUCGAACGAGAAUCGCCUGUGUAGCAAUACAUAGGUGGUUCUAGUGGCGCACGGGUGAGUAACACGUGGGCAACCUGCCCUUGAGUCCGGGAUACCCUCUCGAAAGGGAGGCUAAUACUGGAUACGUUCCUUGGGUCGCAAGAUCUGGGGAGGAAAGGUGGCGAAAGCUGCCGCUUUUGGAGGGGCUCGCGGCCUAUCAGCUAGUUGGUGAGGUAAUGGCUCACCAAGGCUAUGACGGGUAGCUGGUCUGAGAGGACGACCAGCCACACGGGAACUGAGACACGGUCCCGACUCCUACGGGAGGCAGCAGUGGGGAAUUUUCCGCAAUGGGCGAAAGCCUGACGGAGUGACGCCGCGUGGGGGACGAAGGCCUUCGGGUCGUAAACCCCUGUCAGAGGGAAAGAAGGGUCGCCGACCUAACACGUCGGUGAUCUGACGGUACCUUCAGAGGAAGCCCCGGCCAACUCUGUGCCAGCAGCCGCAGUAACAC